rnacentral:rRNA from 1 species
AUUGAACGCUGGCGGCAUGCCUUACACAUGCAAGUCGAGCGGCAGCGCGGGGGCAACCCUGGCGGCGAGCGGCGAACGGGUGAGUAAUACAUCGGAACGUGUCCAGUAGCGGGGGAUAACCUGUCGAAAGAUAGGCUAAUACCGCAUACGAUCCACGGAUGAAAGCGGGGGACUCUCGGGCAACUGAGGGCCUCGCACUAUUGGAGCGGCCGAUGUCGGAUAGCUAGUUGGCGGGGUAAAAGCCCACCAAGGCGACGAUCCGUAGCUGGUCUGAGAGGACGACCAGCCACACUGGAACUGAGACACGGUCCAGACUCCUACGGGAGGCAGCAGUGGGGAAUUUUGGACAAUGGGCGCAAGCCUGAUCCAGCCAUGCCGCGUGAGUGAAGAAGGCCU